AUUGAACGCUGGCGGCAGGCCUAACACAUGCAAGUCGAACGAGUGGCGGACGGGUGAGUAAUGUCUGGGAAACUGCCCGAUGGAGGGGGAUAACUCCUGGAACCGGUGGCUAAUCCCGCAUACCAUCGGAUUUGCCCAGAUGGGAUUAGCUAGUAGGUGGGGUAACGGCUCACCUAGGCGACGAUCCCUAGCUGGUCUGAGAGGGUGAUCGGCCACACUGGGACUGAGACACGGCCCAGACUCCUACGGGAGGCAGCAGUGGGGAAUAUUGCACAAUGGGCGCAAGCCUGAUGCAGCCAUGCCGCGUGUAUGAAGAAGGCCUUCGGGUUGUAAAGUACUUUCAGCGGGGAGGCGUUACCCGCAGAAGAAGCACCGGCUAACUCCGUGCCAGCCGCCGCGGUAAUUC
rnacentral:rRNA from 1 species